rnacentral:lncRNA from 1 species
GAUGAAUAAACCUUCAUUAUAUUCUCUUGUGUAUAUCAUCAGUCUCAACAUAUGAACCAGAUGUGAGCAUAUGAGUCCAUCCUGCCUCUGAGAGGUGAUCCCACACCCAUUCAAUAUGUGACCUUCCCACAGACAGAAGCUUCCUCAGUGAUGCCUAUGAGAUUCUUGAAAAUUACUCACCUCUUCAGUGGCUGCCAGUGUCCUCUCUGAGAUUACUCGAGCUUUGGAUAACCACCAUCCCUCCUUGUUAGAGCGCGCAGGCUGCACAGUGGUUUGUAAAACAGUUGGGAAGAAGACACAUUCCAUAAUUUGUGUCAUUGGUGUUGCGUUAGCCCCAGAAGCAGCGCUACUUGAAUCGAGUGCUCACUGCAUCUCAGUGUUUGUCAUUGGACACUGCCACCUGCUCUCUUUUAAAAGGAGCUAUUAAAGAACAUUGCACUGAAGCUGAUGACUUCAUUUUCAAAAAAUCCCUUCUUGUCCAAAAUAUUUGUAAGUGCAGAAAUCAUCUUUUUCUAAAAUUCUAAAAUCUGUCUGUAGUUACAUCAGAGGCUCCAUCCCAUAUUACUUUUCUGUAAAAAGCAAACAUUUAUUUACC